UCCCUGCCAUUAAUUACCUGAGAAGCGUGC
rnacentral:piRNA from 1 species